AAUAAACAGAUCUACAGUACAUUCAAAAUAUAUAUUAUAGACCAAAUUCAAAACUUGCACUGAUGUGAGGCUUGAGUUGUGAACAAAGAGAUAUGGCGUGAUUUGUUACGCAAGAUCGCUUUGAGUCAUGCCAGAUCCCCUUGAUAAGGUUGUCUUCCCUUUAAGAGAAAGAAAUUUAAAGUUUCAUGAAAGUGUACAGGCAAAACUUUCCUCAUGCAACUGUUUUGCCAAAAAUGCAUUUCUUAGAGGAUCACAUGAUCACAUGGGUUAAGAGGUGUGGAACUGGUAUGGGGCUGCUUGGUGAGCAAGGGGUCGAAUCAAUUCAUCAUGAGAUUAAUGACCUCUUACACUUCCACUCCUGUAUAAGACGAAGGCUGCGACAAGCUUGAAAAAGUCAUGUUGGAGCAUCACAGACGUUGCUAUCCUGCAAACAUGACAAAAACACCAAAAGUAAAGAAGCGARAAGUCUGCGAAGAAUAAAGAAAAAUUUAUAUUUUUGCUUUACCAMGUUUCAAAAGCUACUGUAAAUUGAUCGAGAGAUACUAUAAUUAUAAUAUAUCAAUCUGAGGAUAAACAUAAUAAUAAGGUUUACACAAUAUCAGAUUUACAUGUAAAUAGAUUUUAUAUAAAGAUAGAAAUGAAUUUAUAUGAAACUAAAAUUAAAAUGUCCCCAUCAUUGGCUCCAAGAAAGUAAACAACCUGRACAAGAAGCCACACUUGAUUUUGGGUUAACACUUUUAGACGCGUGUAAAAAAAAGCGGGAAAUUACACCGGAAGUCGAGUAAACGAUGAAAGCAAUCGAUUGAUCAAGUAUUCCAACAUCGAAACCAACGCGAAAACAUGGUCCACUUUGCAUCCACAAAAAAUAAUUCAUAAAAAGAAAACACGAUAUGACAAUAAAUACAUAGUUUAUACAUCAAA